GGAGAUUGGAGCAGGAAGGACAAAUUAAGUGAACCCUCCACUUUAUUCUGGACACCACAUCAUAAGGCUCUGGUACCUGGGCCAGGCAGGGAAACACUGGACCUUCUCAUCUCCAAAGGUAAAAAAAUAUCAGUGUUAAUGUGUUCACUUCAGGAAGCACAGAGUGCCGUUGGGUAGGGGUGUUGCUGAUUGGCUAGAGCGGUCAGCUGGCACUCUAAGCCAAUCAGUAGCUUCCCAUUCAUAAAAAAGUUAAAAUAUUUUAUGAACCGGGAACUAGCGAUUGGCUUAGAGCGUCAACUGUCCACUCUAGCCAAUCAGCGGCACCCAUGCCUGACGUCAAUCUGCAAAUACCACUGAGCGACCUGGAGCUGGAGGAAGCCUUUGGGGUUAAACCAUUUGAGAGCGAUUUAACCCCUUAAAGGAAAGCGAGCACCCAGGGGCUUCCUGGCAUCAUAGCAUUUUCAUUUAGGUGAAGUUGUUAUGGUGACCAGAAUGAUACUUUAAUUUGCUUAAAAGAACACCAUAGUGUCAGGAAUACAAACAUAUAUUCCUGACACCAUAGUUGUGAAAACGCUAUUCACCCUGGCUUUAUGUGAUAAUGGCUAUGCCCCUUCCCUUUCAUGACACUGUCAAAAAGGUACCAAGCAUGGAUGUCAUUACAAUUAUGCCCCCCCUGGAAAAAUUCCUGCGGACGCCCAUGCCCAUCUCCCUCCCUCCCCCCUUUGCCUGUGUCUCAUCCCAUCUCCCUCCCCCCUUUCCCUGUGUCUCUCCCCAUCUCUCUCCCUCCCCCUUUCCCUGUGUCUCUCUCCUCCUCCCCAUCUCUCUCCCUCCCCCCUUUCCCUGUAUCUCUCCCGAUCUCUCUCCCUCCCCCCCUUUCCCUGUGUCACUCCUCCCCAUCUCCUCCCUCCCCCUUCCCCUGUAGUGUCUCUCCCCCAUCUCUCCUCCCUCCCCUGUAUUCUCCCGACCUUCCCUCCCCCUUCCUGUGUCUUUCCCUCCCUCCCAUCUCCUCCCUCCCCUUUUCCCUGUGUCUCUCCCCAUCUCUCCCUCCCCCUUUCCUGCGUCUCCCUCCUCCCCUCUGUUCCCCUUUACCUGGAGAAGUCAGGGGCAGGCCGCUCCUCAUUGAGCCGCCGCGUCAAGUGGUAGCUUCCCGUCCCGCGGCCCGGCUCCUGUCACUGCUGUGGCUGAUGGAGGAGGAGCAUGUCUCUGUACCAUGCUCCCUCGCGGUUCCUGUGCUCCUCCUCCAACAGCCACAGCAGUGACAGGAGCAGGGCCGCCGGACCGGGGAAGCUGCCACCCGGCCUGGCGGCUCCAGCCAGGAAUGCGGCCGGCCCCCAGGUGCCGCGGCCCACCGGGAAAUCCCGGUGGGCCAGUCCGGCCCUGGUGGUCACGGGCAGAGCGGAGGGAACGAGGAGGGGUAUACCUAUGGAUCUGUGAAGAGAUAUAAGAGGGGCUAGAAUUGUAUGGGUUAUGGAAAAAAAAAACACUUUCUGCCCCCAAAUAAAUGGUAUAACGCUACUUUAUUCACCCAAUGUGGUCAGCGCACUUGAUAGCACUUUAUUAUAUAGACUAUAGGGUUAAUUGCUCCUCUCAUAAAACACACUAGAACUGGGGUGGGCAAUCCACAUGUUGUGGACUGCAUAUUCCUAGAUGCUUUGCCAGCAUUAUGGGUGUAAUAGCACUAUGGGGGAUGUAGUCCACAACAUCUGGAGUGCUGAAGGUUGCCAACCUCUGCCCACACCAUAACAGCUUAAUAUCCAGCUUAAAUUAAAUAUUCAAGAACAUCCUCUUAAUAUGUGCAAUUAAUGAUGCCAACAAUUACCGGGGAUGUUGCUUAGGAGAUAUAUAUUCCAUGGUGUCUGGCUCCUGUGUAGACCACUUUCUCCUGCAAACAACAUGGAUGACCAAACACAUUACUCUAAUGGCUGCUGAGGAAGCAUCUACUAAAGACGGUAAACAUGUCCAGAUUUAGUUUUCAUGAAUGUAGGUUUUCUUUCCCCCUCCAUGUUAUUUUUAUCUUGAAUUGAAAAAGAUUUUAACUUUUCAAACAUCGUGACCACUUCAGUGAUUAGAGGACAAAAGGGCUAGGGCAUAAUACUGUGCAUGUAUUUGGAGGUUGCUUGUGGGAUUGCGUGUGUGUAGGGCAGGGCCGCCAUCAGGGGGUGACGUGGAGCGGCGGAACUGCCGCUGGUGCAUCUGCACUGGGCCCCACACGCUGAUGGGGCCAAUCAGGUGACCCAAUGGGUCGUAUUAUCUUCAGGGGCCCAGUCAGCGCUGUAAUAGCACGACCUGGCCCCUUUAAAAAAAAAAAUGCAGUCGCAACGCAAGUGCUGCUGGGAGGAAGUGACAGCCGGCCACUUCCUCCCAGCUUACUCCGCGCUUGAAGGAGGACGCAGCCUGAAGGCCAAGAGGAGAGGCAGCCGACGCCCAUCAUCCCCAGCCACCCUCCUGCAAUGCAAAGGUAAGGAAGACGAGGGUGGCUGAAAAAUGAAUUGUAUGUUUGUAUGCAUGUAUGUGUAUGUAUGUAUGUAUGUAUGCCAGUAUGUGUCUGUCAGUAUGUAUGUAUAUAUCAGUAUUUAUGUAUGUCUGUCAGUAUGUAUGUCUGCAUGUAUAUGUUUGUGUGUGUCUGUCAGUAUGUGUGUAUGUCAGUGUGUGUGUGUGUGUGUAUCUCCUUAUGCAUGUGUGUGUGUGUAUCUGUAUCUCCUUAUGCAUGUGUGUUUGUAUCUGUAUCUCCUUAUGCAUGUGUGUGUGUCUCAGUAUGUGUGUGUCAGUAUGCCUGUAUGUGUGUAUGUCUGUUUCAGUAUUUGUAUCUGUUAGUAUGUGUGUAUCUUUCUGUUUUGUGUCUGUGUGUGUAUUCCUGUGGGCGGGAUUUUGAGGCGGGCCCCCGGGAGCCCAGACUUUGAGCUGUGUUAGGGCCCCCAAAAUUUUUGAUGGCGGCCCGGGUGUAGGGUGAGUUGUUUGUGGUGUGGUGUUUUGUGUAAAUAGGUCGGUUUGUGUUGUGUUGUGUUUGUUAUGUAGUACGUGUGGUUAGGGGCUGUAGAGAGUGUGUGUGUAGUUAUGUAGUGUGUAUAGUGGCAUAAUGUGUGUAUAAGGGAUUUAGUGAGUAUGUGUAUAGGGGCUAUAUUGUGUAUAGUGGUAUGGAGAUAACCCUCAGUCUGCACCUGGUAUAUCCUGCUGUAAGGUGCAGUGUGCCGGGUUCAUGAGAGGACCCUCAGCCCCCACGGGACCCAGGGAACGGGGGACACUACUAAAGCGGGCUAUUGUGAUUAUGAUGUUUAGAGUAACCCUUUCAUUUACAAAUCAGUUCCAAGUUUAUUUGUUAAAACUGGGGACAAUUAAUAAGGGAAAGGGGUUUUGUUCCUUGUUUGGUUCUUAGCAAGUGGAGACACAGGUUACAACAGACCUGAGCGAACAUCACUUCUUUACUUGGGAGAAAUAUGCCUGCUGUCUCCUUUAUCAUAACAACCAUACUGUGUGACUUCCAGCACUGAUGUAACUGUUUUACUCUGGAACAGAGAGCGAGCGUAAAUAACAUCUGGCCACAUGGACAGCGUCUGUCACUUGGUUAAGCACACAUACAUCCACUAGUGGGAGUGUCAGAACUGCCGGAGUUUAUUUAACACUACAGGACCAGAUACAGAUUAGAGGCUUAACAGAGUAUCAAAAGACAGAACAUCCGAGACAUCCACAGCAGAGCAGAUCCAAAGGAAGAGGACUAUAAAGACAUUUUAUUGCUUCGUCUAGAUAUAAAUAUAGAAUACCAGUUUGGGCUGCACUUAUAACAAGAAUACUUUGUAAUCCUUCUUAGUUUUUGCAGAACGGACAUCAUCUGCGGCUGUCCUGGUCAAAGUGACCAUGAAUUCUUCAAGAAGGUAAGAAGCAGGAGCACUAUCCUGUCCGAAAAAUACCGAAUUCUCUUUCUGUGAUACAUUUGUAAAUACCAAGGAUGGAUUAAAGGUAGAUCCCCAGGUGUUGCAGAACUACAGGUCCCAUGGUGCUUUGCCAGCCCAAAGGCUACUAGAUCAUUGGGUCCUAUUUUCUUUUUUUUUGCUAGUGGCAAAAAAUGAUACAGUAACAUAAUGAUCCAUUCUCUAAAUGUAAAAUUCUGUCCACGAGUGAAUUGUCAGUUGCUGUGAUACUGUACACAGCACACCACAUUCAUUAGACAGAUUCCAGAGUUGCGUGGGUCUACACAGCCAAUAAGAACCCAUUACAGGCAGCAAUGGGGAAUCAAUUUUGGGACAAGGGAUUAAAAAACACUGAACUAGAUGCUACACGAUAAGCAGCGUUCCACAUAUUUUACUUUAUGAGAGAGACAUACGCAGUUAAUAACAGAGGUUUUUCCUUGCAGCCUUUUAGAAACAGAGCAACCACGUGCCUAUUCUGUCUGUAGAGAGCAAGACGCACUCUUCUUAUAAUACACUAGAAUAGUCAGGUUUUUAUGAUUAAGUGUAAUAUUUUUUAUGUUAAUAUAAAUGAGGCCAUUUGAUGGACUGAAAAGGACAAGAAAGAGAGCACCAGUUUAAUCAGGCAUUUUAAUAUAUUGGAAGCUGCAGAAAUGAACAAGAUAAUUGGAGAAACUACGGUAAUUAAACAAGGAAUCUUUUAGAACCCUUAUUUCAAAUUAAAAAUAUUAAAGUCACAUUGUGAGGUCAUAACAUGCUAGUCCCACCACUACUUUAAAGGAAAACUAAAGGGCUUUAUGUUAGAAGAGUGUUUGUACUCUUUUAUUUCAUUUACAAAAAUUGGUCCUGCUACUUCCUGGUUUGGUUAGCUCAGUGGAGAUAAACUCAAUUCAAGCACUUCCCCAGAGCACCUGCCUUGCAAAGACUUCUCAUUAAGCUGCAUUGGAAAGUCUGUGAUUGGACAGCCACAGAAAGUUUAGGCAGGGGAAGAAGGGGAGGGUUUGCAAAGACUGCAGACAAGAGAUCUGAAGCUUUUGCAAGCUGUUUUUAGAUAUACCCUCAAUUUAAAAAUGCAUAAAGACAUGCAAGUUUUCAAUGGACAAAUAUAUACUAAAAUAGUGAUUUAUUUUAUUUUUGUAUUUGGGCCGUGGAGUGUCCCUUUUAAGUAGCCCUGUGUUUGGUGGGUCUAAAUCUAUUUUUGAUACGUGCAUGUGAAAUAUAUAAUUAAAUGUAUCACAAGUAGGGCAGGGCCUGACCGCAGAGCCGAGCAGUCGCAAGACACCACAGCUCCUGCUCAUUUCUUGUGAUUUUCACAAAUUUUCUGCUAAAAGAUGACAACACUAGCUAUAAGUCAGCUACUGAGUGACAAGGGACAUCGUGGUGCCCACAAGGAUACCUUUCAUGCUGAUGAUUUCGGAUGAUAUGCCCAACUGCUCUCUGCGGCCUACAAGCAUGACUGAGGAGGCGCCCGCUCUCCCGCUCCCGCCGAUCGCCGCGAACUUCAAUCUGAGUACCUGUUCCCCCCAAUUUCCUGGAGCUUAUGCUUGUUAGCACGGGGAACAACACCUGCUAACAAGCAUAAGGACCCACCACCAUAUCCACAGAUGGGGAUUGUUCCAUCUACGCGCACAAGUCUAGAGCUGAACAUAAGCCCCAAAACUGUAAGUGCAAUCUGUUUCUUUCAUGUAUAAUCAGAAUUAAUAACAUACUACACUAUAUUAUGUUCUCUUUGCUUAUUUCACAUACCACCUUGGAAUUAAGAACAACACUACAGGUGCUGCCUCCCUGCACCUUUCUUUGCAUAUCAACUGACGUAUACUGUUAGAGCAUGUUUAAUAUAAUUCAGAUGCGCAGUUAUAAUGUGCCGUAACCCUGUUUAUGAUGAAAUGCUUACCCUUGUCGUUGUGGCAAUGUAAGCAUGUUUGUUAAUCUCACAUUGUGGGCCUCAUUGGACAGAAGUUCAUUUCUAAAUUAUUAGAGUAAAGGGGAAAGUCUCUGGGUAGUGGGUACUAGUGAGAGCCCCAGUUUUUUUUUACACUGCUCCCUAACUGUCUGACAAAGACUGGGGGCCACUGCCUGUACAUUUAAUGUACCAUAACCACUGAUAAGCUGUCUUGAUUAUGCCGCUUAGAGUGUUCCUUUAAAACCUUACUGUGACAUUAGUUCACAGAACCUCUGAGACAUUAAAUGUUAAUCUAGGCCAGGCUAUGCAAUGCCAAGAUUGCAAUGGAUAUCAACGGUCGUGAUAUGCUGGUGGGCUAGACUUAGCUACAGGUAAACAAAGUAAUUAAUUGUCCAUAUGUUUUAUCUGAGAGAGGGAUUUUCAAACACUUCUGGAAGGUUUGCCGCCUGUGUGCACUGGUUGAAUUUGGUUGUGUUUCACAUGUUGCUGGAGAGAAUAAAUUAACCAAUGAAAAUAAUAAUAACUAACAGUUAACCCUUUGCGUGCCAGAGGGGUAUAGUUGGCUAAUGGGUUAAAAGACAGACUUGCAAAAUCUCCCAGCCAUGGUAUAGAAGAGAAGUCUAUUAGGCUGGAAAUCAGAUCAGAAUAUUGAAUAAACUCUAGCAAUUAGCUGUUGUAUAUAAAAUGUCAAUAAUGCUGCUCCAGUCUCUUGCCUUUAUAUAUGCAUCUAAAAUGUGUCCAUUCAAUUUCCCAUGCACUGUGCAUUAGACAGACAGCAAAUAUUCUUUAACAUUUUAACAUCAUUUGGACAUUUUGUUUGUUGGGAGGUUUGUGGUUUAGAAAAUAUGUUGUGUAGUAAAUGGUUGUUUCAUUUGAUUUUUGUCACUCAUUAAACACAGCUGCAUCAACAGCAAAAAACAUGUGAGGAAGGCUGAACUUGAUGGACGCAAGUCUCUUUUCAGCUAUGUAACUAUGUAACUAUGUAAUAUUUGAUGGUAUAUAAAUAUUGCAACAGUCUCUUUUUCACGAUGUGACUCUGACCACUCGGAGCUAUGCUGAUUUCUGGGAAUUAUAGGGGCAAUUAUUAGUUUAAAGACUAUUGCUGAUAUCAAGGGUUUAUGUCUCUAUAAAUAGAGGGAUAACCAUCUACUUAGGAAAUUGAAAAUGUCUUGCAAGCUAAGUUCAUCUGAAAACAAACGUUAUAAACAAUGACUUCGAAUGCGACUCCUACAAUUAAAGAAUUGCCAGCAGUUGGUAGAUCUGACCUCCUAAUAUGGAUAUAAUUCCCCUGCUGGCAGCGGGAUGAACUGGUCUUUUACCAAACGAUUUAUCACUGUGAAGAUACUUCUAACACAAACAGAGAUACAUACCAGGGCACGAUACAUAUUGUGUUCACAUGCAGCAAUAAAAGGAAAUGAAUAAACAGAUAAUUGUUUAGAACACAAAAUGUUAAAGGAACAUUCCCCCUCUUCUGCCCCCCCAUGGCAAAUUAAACACAUAGAUUCCAGCAGCAUUAUCCCUCAGCACUGGGUUCCUCUCCACCUCCGCCAACGUAAGCUGAUCGGUCAGAUACAAUGUGCAUGCGGCAUGCGGCAUUGAAUCAAUGCUUUCCUAUGGGGAUUUUCUAGAGACUAGACAUCAAACUCCAUAAAACUGCAGGAAGCGCCUCUAGUGGCUGCUAGAUGCAGUCUUAACACUGCAAUGUAAACAUUCUCUUUUUUUUAUAUUUUAUUUUAUUUUAUAUAUUUUAUCAUAGUAAGCAGUUCACUCUUUGUAAUGUGGAAGUCAAAGUAUGAAAGAGAAGCUAUUUCUCAUCAAGUAAAGCAGAACUUGCUUAUAAUAAAUUUCUGUUAUAUAUAUGUAUAUAUAUAUAUAUCUCCAUGAUGAGGCAUUUUAUCAUAGCAUAUUUGCAGGGUUAUUUACUAACAUGAAAAUUUAAUGUGAAUUUCAAACUUAAAGAGAAACUUUAGUGCCCGGAAUCAAAGUUGUUUUCCUGGCACUAUAGCUCCCCAUAGCUUCCCCUUGUUUAGGUCCAUGGCCUCACCUCCAUGGCUUAGAUUAUGAUGAAUAAAUCAUUGGGUGGCUACUGUGCAUGUUUGGAAAAACCCUGCGCAAAUAAGCAUCUCCAGAUAAUUUGAAUUAAUAUGUCUCCAUGGGGAGCAUUCAGUGUCUCCAUGCAGAGCAAAGUAGAUGCUGCAUUGUGUGCAGCACUGAGAUAGGAAGCGCCUCAAGUAACCAUCUGAGUGAUGGCCACUGGAGGUGUUCUUAGGUAGUAAUGUAAACACUGACUUUUUUAUGAAAAGGCAAUGCUUGCAUUGAAAAGCGUGCAGGGACAGGCUGAGCACCAGAACAACAACAUUAAAGUAACAAAUUAUCCCUAUAAAUAUUAAAUUCACUUUGUAUUCACUUUGAAUUCUUGCUUUAGUAAACCCUGGAGGAAUUCACUAAACUCUGAGUUUUCGCAAAUUAAAUAAAAAAAACUGAGGUGGAGAAUUUUUAAAGAUCAUCUAUUUUUGCCUCGGUUUUUUCAUUUAGAUUUAACAUCCAAAAAUGCAAAUUUAAGCAAAUAACCCUGUAUAGUGAUAUCAAUUAGACCUUCCCAGGGAAAUUUACUCCACGGGUCCUUGGUAACUGGGUUCACCCAUGAAUCUUUUUACAUAACUGUAAUGAGAUGAUGCCAGCAGAUAUAAAGACUUGUAAAUACUGAAAUAUGGCAGAUAUUUCAUUAAACUGUGAAUAUGGGCCCUCAACUUGUUCCUAUGCGUCCAUUGGUCUGGUUAAAGUUACGUGUCUGUUAGUCCACCCAUUGUACAGCGCUAUGGAAAUGUGCUGGCGCUAUAUAAAUAAUAAAAUAAUAAUAAUAAUAUAAACUGUGUUUUAACUGUAAUUAAGUCACAUAUUUUGGCUAAAACUUCCAAGUUUGCCAAUUCACAUCUUACUGAACAAAUCCCUUUGUUAUAAUCCAAAUUAUUAAUAAAGACGAAAUCACAUUCAUUGCUCCUCGUUUCUCCCCUAAUUUCUUCCCCCACCAAUCUCUAUUGUAAUUAAAUUUCAUGACAUUAUUUGAAUCACCCCAUCUCACUCUCCUAGUCUUUCCCAAUCUUUAUUUACUUACCACCAUUUCUAUGCAGCUUGCAACAUUUCCCCAAUAUCUCAAGCACUAUCCUGGCAAACUCCCUAAAAGUAUUUUUUUUUAAAAGAAAUUCUUCCAGUAGUUUCUCAGUGCCUCCCCUCUCUAUUCUCUCUUUCACCAAGUCUUUUAAUCCUCAAAUAUCACCAGUGUUUUAGUCCUUUUCGCUCUAGUUUCUAAUUUCUUCAUCUGAUCUCAUCAUCUCAUUCCAGUCUUACAAUCUACUUGAGGUCUCUUAAACAUCCUCAGUAGAAGGCCCCAGGUUCCCUCCGAUUAAUCUGCGAACCCCACCAGUCUUUUAAUUUGCCUCCACUCUUUAGAGCUUCCCCAAGUCUCUCCAACCGCCAGUCUUUCCCUCCAGUCCCUCAAUAUUAUCUCUGAUCUUGCAGACUCCGUCCUUCCAAUCUCUCAGUAUACAUUUCAUAUAAUCUCUUACUUGCUCCAGUAUCUGCAUCCUCAUCCAUCCAGCCUUUCAAUCACCUCCUUCCAGUCUCUCAAUACCCCCAUGGUGUUAAGCUUACUCUCAAUUUCUAAAUCCACCUCCAGUCUAUAAUUUCCUCUUCCAUUUUCUCCAUUUGCCAUCCUGUCUUGUAUUCACCUUAUAUUGUCUUUCCUAUCAGUCUCUCAAUCCCCAUCUCUGAAGCGCCACCUAUUUCUAGAUCUUCCAAUCUUUGAAUCCCCUUUAACUCUUCAACACAUUGCUCCUAAUGGGAAGUCCCAAAGCUGUCUCAUAAACUCUCUGUGUGUAUUGACUUCACAUCAACUGCUGAUUGCACAACUGUGCCAAGGGCUUCCAAAAACAAUUUUUUUUAUUUGCAUUCUAUUUAAUUAUCUAAAGCACUAUUCACUUAGUGAAUCUACAAUAUUGUAAUAUACAUUCUAUCUCUUUCUAGGAUCCAUUCCCUCCGUGCCCACCGACAGAGGACUCCUUCAACCAGCAUGGAGAGCUGGCAAAAGCAGUAUUGUAGAUGUGCAGAACAGUGGUGCGUUGAUGAACUGGCUACAUACUUACUCAUCACCAUGAUUGUUUUAAUAGCUCUAUGGGGCGCAUGGGCAAAAAAAGACGAGUAUUUGUAGUUACUCCGCUAAUUCAAAACUCUCGAAAGACACUUUGUGCGUACUCCACAAUGCAACUGCGGAAAGAGAACCGAGAGAUUCAUUUUCUCUUGAAUUUGAUCGAUGGUUGAAAAAAAAUAUCCUCAAUUUAUCCUUCAAAGUUUUAUUUGAAGAAUUUGUGUUUCACAGCUCACAUGCUUAAGGACAGAGAAGCCUCAGUAAUUCUUUGGAAGAACUGAUGGAACUUUUACGAUUUGUUCCCUGGACACUGUCUGCCAGUUUGACAUCCGCUCCAUUCCCACUCCCAUUAUGCACAAUUGUUUUAUGGAACAUUUCAGAAGAUGUGUAUACAUUCACAGUUAGAUGCAAGCUGACUUCAUAAUAGUGGGCUCUUGUAUUGACUCGACUUAAAAUGUUCUUUAAACCAAAUCAGGCACAAUUUUUGUUGAAAGAAAACCUUGGUUUACAUUGUAUCAACUAAAAUCUAAAGUAGAUAAAAAAA
rnacentral:lncRNA from 1 species